rnacentral:rRNA from 1 species
UACGGAGGGUGCAAGCGUUAUCCGGAUUCACUGGGUUUAAAGGGUGCGUAGGCGGGUUGGUAAGUCCGUGGUGAAAUCCCCAAGCUUAACUUGGGAACUGCCGUGGAUACUAUCAAUCUUGAAUAUCGUGGAGGUAAGCGGAAUAUGUCAUGUAGCGGUGAAAUGCUUAGAUAUGACAUAGAGCACCAAUUGCGUAGGCAGCUUACUACACGAUCAUUGACGCUGAGGCACGAAAGCGUGGGGAGCAAACAGG